rnacentral:rRNA from 1 species
GAUGAACGCUAGCGACAGGCUUAACACAUGCAAGUCGAGGGGCAGCACGGGAGUAGCAAUACAACUGGUGGCGACCGGCGCACGGGUGAGUAACGCGUAUGCAACCUACCUAUCAGAGGGGAAUAACCCGGCGAAAGUCGGACUAAUACCGCAUAAAACAGGGGCACCGCAUGGUAAUCUUUGUUAAAGAAAUUAGCUGAUAGAUGGGCAUGCGUUCCAUUAGGUAGUUGGUGAGGUAACGGCUCACCAAGCCGACGAUGGAUAGGGGAACUGAGAGGUUGGUCCCCCACACUGGUACUGAGACACGGACCAGACUCCUACGGGAGGCAGCAGUGAGGAAUAUUGGUCAAUGGGCGGGAGCCUGAACCAGCCAAGUCGCGUGAAGGAAGAAGGAUCUAUGGUUCGUAAACUUCUUUUGCAGGGGAAUAAAGUGCAGGACGUGUCCUGUUUUGUAUGUACCCUGAGAAUAAGGAUCGGCUAACUCCGUGCCAGCCGCCGCGGUAAGAC